UCGCGAGGACGACCUCGCGACUCAUUCGAGCGAUCAAUUCCGGGGACGACCCCA
rfam:Pseudomonas fluorescens Pf-5, complete genome.